AUUAGGAAAAAAGCACACAGCACAAUCCUGUUCCAAGCUGACAACAUUCUGUAAUAGAAAAGCAGAUUUCCCGAACUUGAACAAAUUAAGUUUGCAAAGGAACACUGCAGUGCUGUCCAUAUUGCUAUAAAUCAGCCACUUCAGGCCACAGAAAUUUCACCAAACAUUCACCACAUCCUUGAAGCAUAAGGACUGAGAUCCCGAGGGACUGCAUGGUUUAAAAGCAGGUGAAAGAAUGAGGAAGUACUUAAUCAAGGACUCAGUGUCACA